rnacentral:misc_RNA from 1 species
UUUCAGUCUCUCUCUCCUUGUGAAACCCUACGUUUCUCUCUCUCAAUUUCUAUCAUUCAAUGGAUUCUCUCCACUCAACCCAAUUCCAAACUCUAGAUUCUUCUCACCCUCCGCUAGAAAGCCAAGAUUUUCACUACGAAAAUCCUCCAUCUCCGCCACAAGAACCUCAAUUCCCCAAUCCCCAGAACCCAGAAAAAACACUCAGUCAAAAUCCACAAAAUUUCACCGGCAACGGCCAUCACCCUCAGAUCGCCUCGGAGACCACUCCGAGGCUCGAAAUCUCUAGAUCCCUGCUUUCCGAAAAUGGUCUCACCAACACCAAUAGCGGCGACAGGGACUUCUCUGGAGGCGAAGAGGAAACAACCAGCCGUCGACGUCGACGCAGCCGAUGGGAUCCACCAGCUGAUUCCACCACCAACAAUCAGUCCACCGAGACUAGUAACAAUGAUUCCGCUGGCGGUCCUCGCAAGCGAAAAUCUCGAUGGGCCGAUGAUGAGCCAAAGCCCGUAAUUCAACUUCCUGAUUUUAUGAAAGAUUUCACUGGAGGUAUUGAGUUUGACCCAGAAAUUCAGGCGUUGAAUGCUAGGCUUCUAGAGAUUAGUCGAAUGUUGCAAUCUGGUUUGCCUCUUGAUGAUAGACCUGAGGGAGCUAGGUCUCCUUCUCCGGAACCAAUUUAUGAUAAUAUGGGAAUUAGAAUUAAUACUAGAGAAUAUAGGGCAAGAGAGAGACUGAACAAAGAGAGGCAAGAAAUUAUUUCUCAGAUUAUCAAGAGAAAUCCUGCCUUUAAGCCUCCUGCGGAUUACCGGCCUCCAAAGCUUCAGAAGAAGCUUUACAUACCCAUGAAGGAAUACCCGGGAUAUAAUUUUAUUGGAUUGAUCAUUGGGCCAAGAGGGAAUACACAGAAGAGAAUGGAGAGGGAAACAGGGGCCAAAAUUGUGAUUCGAGGUAAAGGAUCUGUAAAGGAGGGGAGGUUGCAGCAAAAAAGGGAUUUGAAGCCAGACCCAUCUGAGAAUGAGGAUUUGCAUGUUUUAGUCGAGGCAGAAACACAGGAGGCGUUGGAUUCUGCUGCAGGGAUGGUUGAGAAGUUGUUGCAGCCUGUGGAUGAGGUCUUGAAUGAGCAUAAGAGGCAGCAGCUUAGGGAACUUGCCGCUUUGAAUGGGACAAUUAGGGAUGAGGAGUAUUGUAGGUUGUGUGGUGAGCCAGGCCAUAGGCAGUAUGCAUGUCCUUCGCGUACUACUACAUUUAAAAGUGAUGUGCUCUGUAAGAUUUGUGGUGAUGGUGGACAUCCAACUAUAGAUUGUCCUGUGAAGGGAACAGCAGGGAAGAAAAUGGAUGAUGAAUAUCAGAAUUUUUUGGCUGAGUUAGGAGGAACUAUGCCAGAAUCCUCAACUAAGCAAACCUCUACAUUGGCUUUGGGUUCAGGUGGUUCUGGAAGCAAUCCUUCUUGGGCUAGUAAUGCUGGGGGUCUUGGCAGUGCAAACCAACCGGGACUAGGAGCAAAUGUAGUCAAGCCUAUCAAAGAGUUUGAUGAUACCAAUUUGUAUAUUGGGUAUUUGCCACCUAAUCUUGAUGAUGACGGUUUGAUUGGAUUAUUUUCACCUUUUGGUGAUAUUGUCAUGGCUAAGGUCAUUAAAGAUCGCGUUACUGGAGUGAGCAAAGGUUAUGGUUUUGUGAAGUAUCAGGAUGUCCAAAUGGCUAACAAUGCAAUUGCAAGUAUGAGUGGUUAUCGUAUAGAUGGACGAACCAUUGCUGUGAGAGUUGCUGGCAAGCCACCCCAGCCUACUGUUCCUCCAGGCCCUCCUGCAUCAAAUAUGCCCUCAUACCCAGUUUCAUCUCAGCCAGUUGGUGCCUAUCCAUCACAGCAGUUUACACCGGGUGGUCCUCUUCCAAAUGCACCAC